GCCAGCAUGGUGUAGUGGUUUGAGUGUUGGACUAUGAUUCUGAAGACUAGGGUUCGAAUCCCUGCUUGGCC
rnacentral:tRNA from 1 species